rnacentral:lncRNA from 1 species
UUGGGUCGUUGGUGGUGGUGGUGGCGGUGCCGUUGAAGGAGCAGGUGGCGCCGGUGCUGGCCAUCUUCUGGUAGUAGUCGUUGUAGGCGUAGGACGCGAGCGCCGCCAGGUUGUUCUGCUGGUAGCAGGCGCCGCCGGGCUGGAUGGCGGAGCAGUCGGCUUGGCCUUGCCCGCACGCCCAGUUGAGCCCGGCCUGCAGCGCCGUCGGGUCCGCGUUCUGCAGCGCCACGCAGAACGUCCCCGUCGCCAGCGACCGCCGCUGACCACCCUCACCCGGGUAGCCGUACCCGUAGUAGUAGUAGUAUGGCACGACGUCGCCGCCGGCCGCGAGGUCCGCCGCGAUCACGGGGACGCGCGAGACGCCCAGGGCGCGCAUCGCGGCGUCGACCUUG